ensembl:processed_transcript 1110018N20Rik RIKEN cDNA 1110018N20 gene
GGGGGGCGGGGAGCUCUGCAGGCCGCUGUGGUGCAGGGGUGCGCGAGGGCGGGCGUCGCGGCUACCGUCUCACCUCCAUCCCGACGGCUGCGAGGCAGAAAGCGAAAGCGGACACGGAAGAUUUUGGGCCGAGUGAGGAUUGUGGAGGCUACCAGAUGCCCACCUGUCGGAGGCCACCAGGCUGCCCUGUCCUGGGGCGACCCCACUCCUCACAACACCAGGACCUGAGGCCGCUCCGGAGUCCAGGAGAAAGCUUCAGCCAAUCAUGAGUACUACUGGGGAGUCAUGGGGGCAGGGGAGGCCAUGCUGAGAGCAGUAACCCAGGAGCUCAGCAGGGCCUCUCAGAAGUGAGGCCAGACUCCACCACCACAGAGGACCUACCAGAAUGUGGGUAGCAUCUGCUAGUGGGGGGGACCAGAUUAAACAGUGUGGAAGAAGGAAGACCACUUGCCCUUGUUGGCCUGGCCUGGCCUCUUGCUUGAAGCGUUGGAAGAUGAUGAUGACGAUGACGACGACAACGAUUCCCCCACUGAAAAUAGAAGCAGCAGCCAUUUCAGGUUUCCAUCCUGGACCAAGGACCUUCAAGUCUCCAGGAACUUGCAGAUUUGGGGUGCAGGAUUGUUGACUACUGAGGCACCUCCAGGACCAGUCAGCUCCCGGAUUCCCAGCCUCGGUGUUGAGACUAUUUCAGAGUAAGCUGAUGACAUGCAUACUCUAAUAUAUUUGGUAUAUAAGAUGUUUCAUAUUUAAUAUAGAAAAUGUGGAAUUCCAUCAAUUCUGUUCCUCCAGAAAAUCUCAGCUUA